rnacentral:rRNA from 1 species
UACGAAGGGGGCUAGCGUUGUUCGGAAUUACUGGGCGUAAAGCGUGCGUAGGCGGUUCUCCAAGUCCGUUGUGAAAGCCCCGGGCUCAACCUGGGAAUGGCAGUGGAAACUAGGGGACUUGAAUCUGGCAGAGGGGGGUGGAAUGCCGCGUGUAGCAGUGAAAUGCGUAGAGAUGCGGCGGAACACCGAUGGCGAAGGCAGCCCCCUGGGCUGACACUGACGCUCAGGCACGAAAGCGUGGGGAGCAAACAGG